GACGAACGCUGGCGGCGUGCUUAACACAUGCAAGUCGAACGGUAAGGCCUUCGGGUACACGAGUGGCGAACGGGUGAGUAACACGUGGGUGAUCUGCCCCCUACUCUGGGAUAAGCCUGGGAAACUGGGUCUAAUACCGGAUAUGACCUCCUUCUGCAUGGUUGGUGGUGGAAAGUUUUUUCGGUAGGGGAUGAGCCCGCGGCCUAUCAGCUUGUUGGUGGGGUAAUGGCCUACCAAGGCGACGACGGGUAGCCGGCCUGGGAGGGCGACCGGCCACACUGGGACUGAGACACGGCCCAGACUCCUACGGGAGGCAGCAGUGGGGAAUAUUGCACAAUGGGCGAAAGCCUGAUGCAGCGACGCCGCGUGGGGGAUGACGGCCCUCGGGUUGUAAACCCCUUUCAGUCGGGACGAAGCGAGAGUGACGGUACCGAUAGAAGAAGCACCGGCCAACUACGUGCCAGCCGCCGCCGUAAUAC
rnacentral:rRNA from 1 species